AGUGAGGCAGCAGCCAAGCAGCACCAAGUUCCUGUGUAAGCAGCACUCUUUUCACAGUGCAGUUUUCUUUGUCAGUGCAAAGAUGAAGUGCCAGGACCAUAGUGGAGUUCCAAGGACAGGUGCAACUGCACCAUGAAGGGCGUGUUUCACUACUACUGGAUAAGCUUGCCUGACCUGUAUUUUUUCCCUUCAGUAAUGGGAAAGUUUAGCUAGGAACUCUGUAGAAAAUAUCAAAUAAAAUACAUAAAAAUAUAAAAUAAAAUUACUUUUUAAAAGAAAA